UACGUAGGGCGCAAGCGUUGUCCGGAAUUAUUGGGCGUAAAGAGCUCGUAGGCGGUCUGUCGCGUCUGUUGUGAAAACUCGAGGCUCAACCUCGGGCUUGCAGUGGAUACGGGCAGACUAGAGUGCGGUAGGGGAGACUGGAAUUCCUGGUGUAGCGGUGGAAUGCGCAGAUAUCAGGAGGAACACCGAUGGCGAAGGCAGGUCUCUGGGCCGCAACUGACGCUGAGGAGCGAAAGCAUGGGGAGCAAACAGG
rnacentral:rRNA from 1 species